rnacentral:lncRNA from 1 species
UAAGAAAACCGAAUUCCUUCUUCCUCAAGUAUUUCUUCUUGGGUUCACUAAAUAAAUCAUAAUACAUGAAGACUUGCUUGAAAAAUGCUCCAGGCACUUGGUUGUAAAAGGUAGAAUGUAAAUUGCAACAACAAAAUUCUAACUCUAAUAGAAUUAUAACAAUGCUAAGCAAGUUUUAAUCAAAUUUAAAGAAACUUCAAAGGAAUUACAAAAAAAUAAUAAAAAAUAUUAAAGAAAUAUUAGAAUGAUCACAAAUAUAUUUCAAAUACAUCUCAAUUCAAUCUUAAUUUAACCCUAGUUAAAAUCCUAUUGGACUUUAUUCAAACUGUAGACCAAAAACUAACUAAAUCUUAAAUCCUAACCAAAUCCUAAAUCAAAUCUUAAUCAAAUUCUAAAUUCUAAAUCAAAUCCUAACUAAAACUUAAAUCCUAAUAAAAUCCUAGUCAAAUCCUAAACCCUAAAUCAAAUCCUAACUAAAUUUUAAAUCUUACUCAAAUCCUAAUCAAAUCCUAAAUCCUAAAUCAAAACCUAACUAAAUCUUAAAUUCUAAGAAAAUCCUAACUAAAUCUUAAAUUCUAACCAAACCCUAAAUUCUAAAUCUUAAACCAAAUCCUAACCAAAUCCUAAUCCUAAAUCAAAUCCUAACCAAAUUUUAAAUCCUAAAUCAAAACCUAACCAAAUCUUAAACCCUAAACCAAAUCCUAAAUCCUAAACCAAAUCCUAAACUUUAAACCAAAUCAUAA